AUACGUAGGGUGCGAGCGUUGUCCGGAAUUACUGGGCGUAAAGAGCUCGUAGGUGGUUUGUCGCGUCGUCUGUGAAAUUCCGGGGCUUAACUCCGGGCGUGCAGGCGAUCCGGGCAUAACUUGAGCACUGUAGGGGAGACUGGAAUUCCUGGUGUAGCGGUGAAAUGCGCAGAUAUCAGGAGGAACACCGGUGGCGAAGGGGGGUCUCUGGGCAGUAACUGACGCUGAGGAGCGAAAGCAUGGGUAGCGAACAGGAUUAGAUACCCUGGUAGUCCAUGCCGUAAACGGUGGGCGCUAGGUGUAGGGGUCUUCCACGACUUCUGUGCCGUAGCUAACGCAUUAAGCGCCCCGCCUGGGGAGUACGGCCGCAAGGCUAAAACUCAAAUGAAUUGACGGGG
rnacentral:rRNA from 1 species